UACAGAGGGUGCAAGCGUUGUUCGGAAUUACUGGGCGUAAAGGGCUCGUAGGUGGCCAACUAAGUCAGACGUGAAAUCCCUCAGCUUAACUGGGGAACUGCGUCUGAUACUGGAUGGCUUGAGAUUGGGAGAGGGAUGCGGAAUUCCAGGUGUAGCGGUGAAAUGCGUAGAUAUCUGGAGGAACACCGGUGGCGAAGGCGGCAUCCUGGACCAACACUGACACUGAGGAGCGAAAGCCAGGGGAGCAAACGGG
rnacentral:rRNA from 1 species